UUGUGUUGGGGGUUCUGUUCGUCUCUGGGUUCGGCGCCUUGUACCUGGUAACGCGGAGGAAGCAAGCAAGAAGAGGCGUUGCCAUUGGCCCAUGGGAUUCCCGCGCUGAUAUGUACCAAGCUGUAUAUGAAGAGAUUGAGGAUAUUCCACGUGGAGAACACAUUGUCCCAACCGAUGGUUCAGAUUCAUUUCAUGACAGCGACGAUGAUGUAAAAAGUGUGGGCAGUGACGAGCGUGGAGAUAACGUGUCAACGUUGAGUGAAAGUGCCCACAGGG